CAGUCGCCGCGGUAAUACGAAGGGUGCAAGCGUUACUCGGAAUUACUGGGCGUAAAGCGUGCGUAGGUGGUCGUUUAAGUCUGUUGUGAAAGCCCUGGGCUCAACCUGGGAACUGCAGUGGAAACUGGACGACUAGAGUGUGGUAGAGGGUAGCGGAAUUCCUGGUGUAGCAGUGAAAUGCGUAGAGAUCAGGAGGAACAUCCAUGGCGAAGGCAGCUACCUGGACCAACACUGACACUGAGGCACGAAAGCGUGGGGAGCAAACAGGAUUAGAUACCCGAGUAGUCCCUGUCUCUUAUAC
rnacentral:rRNA from 1 species